GACUCCCUCUAACUCCUUUCCUCUCUCCCUCCUCCUCCUCCUCAUCUCUCCCUCCUCCUCAUCUCUCCCUCCUCCUCCUCCUCUCGUACUGGUCCUGUGCUCUCCCCGUGGUGAGGCAGUCCGGCGGAGCGAGAGCGAGAGCGAGUGUGUGUGUGUGUGUGUGUGUGUGCGUUCCUGUUCCUGUAUCAGCGCUGGGAUACCAGUCAGCAGCAUGAAACCUUGAAUCCGAUCGAGACUGGACACAGUGUAACAGGCAACACGGCAACAGAGUGUGACUGCUGCAAAGAGAUGUGGAGUGUGUGAGCGCGCAACAACAGCAGUUACUGAACACACCUUCUCCCCACAUACUCGUGAAGGUUCACUGGACACAGCACACAACAGACCAGCGUUUGAACAGCACAGACACGGCUGCCAUAUCUGAGGGUGCCGCGACCUACAGCUCAUCCGUCUGUACAUGGAGACCACGAGCUGGGCAGUGUGUAAGUCGGGCACCAUUGCUGUGUUUGGAAACGUGGUGUACGGUGACCUGCUGACGGAUCUGACUGACUUCUGCCACUUUGGAGUUCCACUCGUCACAAGACUGCAGAGAACAUGCGUGGAACAGAGCAGAGAACAUGCGCGGAACAAAGAGGAACAUGGGCGGAACAGAGCAGAGUGGAACAUGCGCGGAACAGAGAAGAACAUGCGCAGAACAGAGCAGAGAACAUGGGCGGAACAAAGAGGAACAUGGGCGGAACAGAGCAGAGUGGAACAUGCACGGAACAGAGCAGAGUGGAACAUGCGCGGAACAGAACAGAGCGGAAAACAUGCGCGGAACAAAGAGGAACAUGCGUGGAACAGGGCAGAGUGGAACAUGCGCGGAACAAAGAGGAAAACAUGCGCGCAACAGAGCAGAGUGAAACAUGCGCGGAACAAAGAGGAUCAUGCGUGGAACAGAGUGGAACAUGCGCGGAACAGA
ensembl:lncRNA